rnacentral:rRNA from 1 species
AAAAGUGAAAGACGGUCUUGCUGUCACUUAUAGAUGGAUCCGCGCUGCAUUAGCUAGUUGGUAAGGUAACGGCUUACCAAGGCAACGAUGCAUAGCCGACCUGAGAGGGUGAUCGGCCACACUGGAACUGAGACACGGUCCAGACUCCUACGGGAGGCAGCAGUAGGGAAUCUUCCGCAAUGGGCGAAAGCCUGACGGAGCAACGCCGCGUGAGUGAUGAAGGUCUUCGGAUCGUAAAACUCUGUUAUUAGGGAAGAACAUAUGUGUAAGUAACUGUGCACAUCUUGACGGUACCUAAUCAGAAAGCCACGGCUAACUACGUGCCAGCAGCCGCGGUAAUACGUAGGUGGCAAGCGUUAUCCGGAAUUAUUGGGCGUAAAGCGCGCGUAGGCGGUUUUUUAAGUCUGAUGUGAAAGCCCACGGCUCAACCGUGGAGGGUCAUUGGAAACUGGAAAACUUGAGUGCAGAAGAGGAAAGUGGAAUUCCAUGUGUAGCGGUGAAAUGCGCAGAGAUAUGGAGGAACACCAGUGGCGAAGGCGACUUUCUGGUCUGUAACUGACGCUGAUGUGCGAAAGCGUGGGGAUCAAACAGGAUUAGAUACCCUGGUAGUCCACGCCGUAAACGAUGAGUGCUAAGUGUUAGGGGGUUUCCGCCCCUUAGUGCUGCAGCUA